rnacentral:rRNA from 1 species
UACGUAGGGGGCAAGUGUUAUCCGGAUUUACUGGGUGUAAAGGGAGCGUAGACGGCGAUGCAAGUCUGAAGUGAAAGGCGGGGGCCCAACCCCCGGACUGCUUUGGAAACUGUAUGGCUGGAGUGCAGGAGAGGUAAGUGGAAUUCCUAGUGUAGCGGUGAAAUGCGUAGAUAUUAGGAGGAACACCAGUGGCGAAGGCGGCUUACUGGACUGUAACUGACGUUGAGGCUCGAAAGCGUGGGGAGCAAACAGG